rnacentral:rRNA from 1 species
UACGGGGGGAGCAAGCGUUGUUCGGAUUUACUGGGCGUAAAGGGCGCGUAGGCGGCCACCGCAAGUCGACUGUGAAAUCUCCGGGCUUAACCCGGAAAGGUCAGCCGAUACUGCGGGGCUAGAGUGCAGAAGGGGCAACUGGAAUUCUCGGUGUAGCGGUGAAAUGCGUAGAGAUCGGGAGGAACACCGGUGGCGAAGGCGGGUCUCUGGGCAUUUCCUGACGCUGAGGCGCGAAAGCGUGGGGAGCAAACGGG